UGUCUGUGUGAGGCUUUUGCCGGGAACAGAAAGGAAUGGAGUCUUAGAACUUAAUGACUCAGUGACGAAGCUGCAGUAUUACACUGGGGACAGCGAGAGGGAAAACGAUCUGGAUCAGAACAAGAGGGAGCUUCCCCAGGGGGGUCUCAGUUGGAUUACAAUAGCAUGGAGGAUCCUGCCUUGAACGACGUCCCCAGACUCCAGACGGCCAAGAUGCCCCUGCCCUGCCUGGAGAUAUCCCAGGGGAUGGUUACAAUGAUGCCAGAGAAGUGUCUGACUCUGAAGGUGACCCUGGUUUGGGGCAGAAUGAUAAGCAAGGCGCUGGGGCGAGUGACAGGGACAUGGAUUCACAGACAGGUUGGAGUGAAGGUGUUUCUGGGGUGGAGAAGGAAACUCUGUUCCUGCCUCCUGGAGACACAGGUUAUGAUGAUAUGGGACAUGGAGACUUGGGGGAUCAGUAUCAGAAAUGAUUUGAUUGGGCCAAAUAACCUCGUGAUGAUGUAAAAGCUUCUCCUCUUUCUCUCAGAAAUGCUCCCUCUGGCAUGAUGCCCAAAGACAGUCCCUGCCUGGUAGAUAGACAAAGGCAGGUGUUUUUAUAGGGUUUGUGUGAAUUUAUAGGAAAUACAAGUGUGAGUGGAAAAAGGUUCACAAACAUCCUCUGUAUAAUUUCCUAUUCAUUGGCCAGGAUGGAAGUUUCCUGCCUUUUUAUCCCUGUGGUUUCUUUAGCUUGAAUCUGUGCCUUUUUCUUAUUAAAUCCCUUCUGAAAGUC